AUUGAACGCUGGCGGCAUGCUUUACACAUGCAAGUCGAACGGUAACAGGCCGCAAGGUGCUGACGAGUGGCGAAUGGGUGAGUAAUGCAUCGGAACGUGCCCAGUCGUGGGGGAUAACGCAGCGAAAGCUGCGCUAAUACCGCAUACGAUCUCGGGAUGAAAGCGGGGGACCGAAAGGCCUCGCGCGAUUGGAGCGGCCGAUGUCAGAUUAGGUAGUUGGGGGGGUAAAGGCCCACCAAGCCAACGAUCUGUAGCUGGUCUGAGAGGACGACCAGCGACACUGGGACUGAGACACGGCCCAGACUCCUACGGGAGGCAGCAGUGGGGAAUUUUGGACAAUGGGCGCAAGCCUGAUCCAGCAAUGCCGCGUGCAGGAAGAAGGCCUUCGGGUUGUAAACUGCUUUUGUACGGAACGAAACGGUCCGGGUUAAUACCCUGGGCUAAUGACGGUACCGUAAGAAUAAGCACCGGCUAACUACGUGCCAGCCGCCGCCGUAAGAC
rnacentral:rRNA from 1 species